GAUUUCUGGCCGCUCCCCGGUCGCCGGCCACGGUUUCGUGUGUCAGUGCGGCCGGUGUAGGCCAUCCUUCCCGGCGUGCCCGCCGACUCUUCACUGAGCCGGCGGCGGGUCGGGAUCGUUUACUUUGAAAAAAUUAGAGUGUUUCAAGCAGGCUGUAUGCUAUGAAUACAUUAGCAUGGAAUAAUGAUCUAGGACUUCGGUUCUAUUUUGUUGGUUUCUAGGACGGAAGUAAUGAUUGAUAGGGAUAGUUGGGGGUGCUAGUAUUCAGCGGCCAGAGGUGAAAUUCUCGGAUUCGCUGAAGACUAACUUAUGCGAAAGCAUU
rnacentral:rRNA from 1 species